CUGUACUCCAGACAGAAUCUUUCUUACCUCUCUAUUAUGGAGAAGCAAUCCAUUUUUUUCUUGGUACUCUGCCUCAAUUAUCUCUCCUAACACUUAUUUCUUUCUUAGCCUGUUGGCUUAAGGACACCACAAGCCCUAAGUGGCCAGAGGGAGGUCUGAGCUUCCAGUUUAAUGGACUGUUUGUUUUGUCUUCAGGCAAAAUAACUUCACUCCCUGGAACCAAAACUUUCAGAUCAUCCACAGGUGAAGGCCCAUGGUAUCCCUCACGGCCUCCUGAAACAUGAAUUGUGAGCCUGAUGGAAUCUUGUGACUACAUGUAGAGGCCGUGAAACAUUUACUAACAGUACGAGGUUUCUGAGCGUGUGAUGGCUAAAAUAGAGUUCAGACUCAAACGUGUAACGAGUUGGAACUUCUUGUGCCAGUGCUCACCUGUGCUGCAUCCCACAACCUCACCACUGCGUUGGUUUUGAACAUAUAAAACAUGCACUUUGCCCUGCGAAUGCCAGCACAGCACUGGCCAAUGAAGGCACGAGCACUCCCCGACACCCUUUGCUCAGAUGUGAGACUGUUGGAUGAGUUUCGGUGUUCUUACUGUACGUAAGUCUCUCUGCUCUUAUAGAAACGCAAUGGUUUAAUUACGGAAAACAAGGACUUUCGUGUAAGUUUCAAAUUGCUGUAUCUUUGGGUUGUAUUAGCUUAGAGUGAUUUUAAAAACUGCUGUUUGCGUUGCUCACUUGGGUUUCAUAAGAAAUCAUUCUUGCCUGAUGGUCUGGAAGAGUUGUUCUCGUCCCUCUCUGUCCUGCUUUGCUGAGCCCUUCAGUCCCUUGGGAGUCUCGGAAGACAUUCUCCUUCCUAAUGUCCCCCCCCCCCGGGGUGACUUAGCCACCGCUAACCCUAACAGUGGUUAAUGAUCGUAUUCAUAGACAACAACUAGACUAUAACCAAGCGAAUUUCCCAUCUCCUGAGCUUUUUACACCCAAUCUUCAGGACCAGGAUCACUGGUUUGAAAAAAAAAAAUUAUUUCAUCUCAAAGCUGGGGACAGAGACUGUAAGAAGAGAACCAGUCCAAGAAAUACUGUUCCAUCAUUCACUUAGAUAAAACCACCACCACUACCUGUAGGCUUAAAUUUUCUAAAACCUACUUUAUUUAGGGUUCUUAAACUCUUCUACCUCCCCUCCAAUCCACGGACCAGAGGUUAUUAGGAAAAAAGGGGGGUUGUGGACCUUCCUUGGCAUGAGUCCACUCUUCCUUGUCCAGAUCCCAGUCGUCCAGUCAAAUAGUCAACACCAAACAGCAACACCAAUCAACAGCAGCAGCAGGAUUCAGCAGAAGCAGCAGGACUCCGCUGAAUUGGAACAAGUCAGCAAAGGCUGCAAGACUAAGCUGGAGUGCCACAGGAAGUUUUCUGCUCUGGAACACUGCUCUCCGAGAAGUGAACUGUAGAAAAACAAAGACCGGCGAAGUGAUGUGCACCGUACAAAGAGGAGGGAGGCAAAAGUGCUGUCUCCCUGUCUGUAGGUGUCUUUUUAAUCCCCUCUCAAGAGUCCACACAAGGCUGUUUAAAUACCACGCCCCUUGCACAACAGCGCAUCCAGCAAAACAUCACGUGCCCUCUCACAUGUCUGUUUUCAGCUGACCAAGAUCAUGGGCCCACCACCACCUCCAUCACCACCACCAUCACCAUCACCAUUACCAUUACCACUACCAUCACUACCACCACCACCACAACCAUCACCAUUACCACCACCUCUAUCACCAUCACCAUCACCACCACCACCACCACCACCACCACCACCACAACCAUCACUUCCACCACCCCACUAUCAAUAACAAUGAUGGCUCUCAUACAGCACGGUGCUCAAAGCCAAACAGCCUCUAUUUUCAGAAGUUCUGCUGGGCGUGCUCACAAAAAUCUUCACAGCUGGGCCUGUUGACUAUUUGCCUUCUUCUAUAGAAGGAGGUGGUGGAGUGGGUCACGGGCUCCUCACCUGAGGACCCAUCCACCCCUGCUAACCAAGUGUAUAAAAUUCUGCCCUAAUUAUAUGUGGUCUUGGGGUGAGGCUAGAGGCUAUUGGUAGAGAAGAAUGAGGGGAGGCCAUAGGGAAGCCAUCAUCACUGUUGGCCUUCCAGUGUGGCUACUUUAAGGUUAUCUCUUAAGGGACCUGUCUAUAACCCCUCAUCGUUGCUUGGUAUCUAAGCCUAAUAAACUCGUUGGUUCUCCUUGGUGAACUGUGGUAAA